GGGGAUUUAGCUCAGCGGCAUAAGUACCUGCCUUGCAAGCAGGUGGUCGUGAGUUCAAUCCCUG
rfam:Cavia porcellus supercont2_4 genomic scaffold, whole genome shotgun sequence.